UACAGAGACUGCGAGCGUUAUUCGGAAUUAUUGGGCGUAAAGGGCGCGUAGGCGGCUUUGCAAGUGACGGGUGAAAUCCCUCGGCUUAACCGAGGAACUGCCUGUCAAACUGCAUGGCUUGAGACCGGGAGAGGUGAGUGGAAUUCCCAGUGUAGCGGUGAAAUGCGUAGAUAUUGGGAGGAACACCAGUGGCGAAGGCGGCUCACUGGACCGGUACUGACGCUGAUGCGCGAAAGCGUGGGGAGCAAACAGG
rnacentral:rRNA from 1 species